AUACGUAGGUGGCAAGCGUUGUCCGGAAUUAUUGGGCGUAAAGCGCGCGCAGGCGGUCCUUUAAGUCUGAUGUGAAAGCCCACGGCUCAACCGUGGAGGGUCAUUGGAAACUGGAGGACUUGAGUGCAGAAGAGGAAAGUGGAAUUCCAAGUGUAGCGGUGAAAUGCGUAGAGAUUUGGAGGAACACCAGUGGCGAAGGCGACUUUCUGGUCUGUAACUGACGCUGAGGCGCGAAAGCGUGGGGAGCAAACAGGAUUAGAUACCCUGGUAGUCCACGCCGUAAACGAUGAGUGCUAAGUGUUAGGGGGUUUCCGCCCCUUAGUGCUGCAGCUAACGCAUUAAGCACUCCGCCUGGGGAGUACGGUCGCAAGACUGAAACUCAAAUGAAUUGGCGGG
rnacentral:rRNA from 1 species